AUGAAUCUAAUAAGUUGGAACUGCCCGGGAGGGGGGAAUACCCGGACAGUUCAUGAAAUCGUGACGAUAUCCCAGUCGCAUUCCUCCACUUUUGUGUUUCUUUGUGAGACUAGACAGAAAGCUGAGAAAAUGAGGAGGAUUCAAAGCAGACUUGGGUUGAAGGGUUUUGAAGAAGUGGAUAGCAAUGGUCUCAGUGGUGGGCUAGCAUUGUAUUGGCACGAGGCAUGUCUUGUGGACAUCUUGGACAAGAAUGAUCGGUACAUUGACGCUUUGGUUCGUUUGAAUACAGAUGCAGAAUAG
rnacentral:rRNA from 1 species